AUAUGACGCUGGCCGGCGGCUCUAACACAUGCUCUCGAGCGGAUGACGGGAGCUUGCUCUUCGAUUCAGCGGCGGACGGGUGAGUAAUGCCUAGGAAUCUGCCUGGUAGUGGGGGACAACGUUUCGAAAGGAACGCUAAUACCGCAUACGUCCUACGGGAGAAAGCAGGGGACCUUCGGGCCUUGCGCUAUCUCAUGAGCCUAGGUCGGAUUAGCUAGUUGGUGAGGUAAUGGCUCACCACGGCGACGAUCCGUAACUGGUCUGAGAGGAUGAUCAGUCACACUGGAACUGAGACACGAUCCAGACUCCUACGGGAGGCAGCAGUGGGGAAUAUUGGACAAUGGGCGACAGCCUGAUCCAGCCAUGCCGUGUGUGUGAUGAAGGUCUUCGGAUUGUAAAGCACUUUAAGUUGGGAGGAAGGGUUGUAGAUAAAACUCUGCAUUUUGACGUUCCCGACAGAAUAUGCACGGGCUAACUCUGUGCCAGCAGCCGCGUUAAUACAGAGUGUGAAGCGUAAUCGCAAUUACUGACCGUAGAGCGCGCGUAGGUGGUGUGUUAGUUGGAUGUGAAGCCCCGGGCUCACCUGGCACUGCAUCCACA
rnacentral:rRNA from 1 species